UUCAUUUUUCCUUUGAGGAAACUGUCUACCUUGGAAGUGAAGUGAUUUGUCUGAGCUCACAUUGGGAGCAAACAUCAGAGGAAAGGGCUUCCAUACGGAAACCAGAGCUCUUCUGCUUAAGCUUCGGAUGGCAGAACGAGGAGUAAAAAGUGGAAUUUGCAAAGCUCCACUUCCGAAGUGGUUCUCAGCGCAAUCGAGCUCUUCGGCAUUGUGUACUACAAGACCAGCUGGUGAUCUCUUGAAAGGGGAACGCACAGGGAAACGAGAGUGCCGCUCGCUUUGCUCUCGGACGAGCACAUGAAACCACAGGACGGCUCGCAGGUAGGUCCAGGAAU